UGAGCAAUCUGCCCUUCUCAUCGGAAUAAGCGUUGGAAACGACGUCUAAUGCCGAAUACGACCUCCUUUCACAUGAUCGGAGGUGGAAAGCUCCGGCGGAGAAGGAUGAGCUCGCGGCCUAUCAGCUAGUUGGUGUGGGUAACGGCCCACCAAGGCGACGACGGGCAGCCGGCCUGAGAGGGUGACCGGCCACACUGGGACUGAGACACGGCCCAGACUCCUACGGGAGCAG
rnacentral:rRNA from 1 species